CGCGCCGCCCAGAAGACCAAGUUUGGCUGGAUGAGGUACCCUCAGGCUGCACAGGUGACAGAGGACAACCGGCUGCUCUACCUCCUCAUUAAGAUGCUGAGGAACCGCCCGCCCUCCAGCCGCCUUGCCUCUCCCAGCAAGGUGGCCGCCUCCAUCAAGGCACAAUAUAAAAGGAUUGUGGAUCGCGUGACAGACGAUCCCGUCCUCUGCGGCCUCUCCAUCCCACUGCCCAACAUCAACAAUAAGUCCAUCUCCAGCUUCUUCUCUCGGGAGGAGAAGGCUGCCAACUACAGAGCUACGGUGCAGCCCAAAGCCAAGCCCCACCGCACCGUGCUGUCUGACCAACCGCUGCCCGACGCUCUUGCGUUGCCGUCGUCGCUGCCACCACCAGACCGACGGCAAAUGCAGUUCGAGCAGCCUCGCCACACGGCCGGGAAAAGGCGCGGAGAGAAGCGGAGGUUGGACUUUGAGGAGCCGGACCCAGAGGCGGGACCUUCAAAUCGGCCCAUCCAAGCCCAGCCUGCUGCCGCCGCCCCCCUCUACAUCCUACCUGCAGUCCGGGCAGCUCCCAUACUGCUGGUGGUCCCAGCACAGCCGCGCGCUCCAUCAAUCCAGUUUGCCGGGCCUUCCUGCAGGCAGGUAUUCGCCCCCGUUCUGCCCCCCCCUGCUUUCAUCCCCAAGCCCAUCGUCCCCAAUAAGUCGGGGAGGCCCUGCGGGGCAUGCAAAGUUACUCAGUGUGGUGGCCGGAGGAAACGCUACACGCCCUCCAAGGACAAAGCGGUUGGAAGCAGCCAAAAAAUUUACACUUUUUGUCCUGCCACAGGGAAGUCAACCACCCCUGGCUUUGAAGGCGUGGUGUACACCAGCUUUGAACACUUUAAAAGUGUGGUGGACGAGGAGCUGGAGAGGAGGAGAAGCCAUUAACACUGACUGUUGACACACCUGUUGCUUACUGACUGUUGACACACCUGUUGCUUCUCCCAUAUUUUAUAUUAAUAAAAGUUGUGUUGUUCUUUAAAAGUGUGUCUUC
rnacentral:lncRNA from 1 species